CACUUCAUAAAAUUCAUUCUCAAUUUUUGGAUUAUCAACUCAAAGAUGGCAUAUGCAGCCGUUCAUUCUCUUGCCCAAACCCAAACCACUGCAGAAAUCAUCUUCCUUAAUCCCGUUUCUGAUAGCAAAAAACACCAAAUUAGAUCCAUCUAUGAACCAUUCAUUUCCUUGAAAGAGUUUCUGGAAGAAUUCCCCGAUGAGACGCCCAGCAAUUUGUAUGAUCGUAUCAAGCAAGCUGCGCGUGAAGCAGAACCCAUUAUUGUAUCUAUCAUAUCGGAGGAAAAUCAACCGCAGUGCUGUGCCGCUUUAGCAGGAAAAUCCAAAUUAAAACGCCAAGUGAAAAUGAUUACCAAUCAGUGUGGAGGUGAGGAACAUGAAGCAGAAUAAAGCUGCCACAAUCAAAGAUGCUGAGCAAAUUGGUGCUUCUUCUUCUGCAGCAGGUGGAUUGGUUGGGGAAAAAGUGUUCAAAAUCUUGAAAUGUAGACGGUAUCUCAUCAUAAUGGAUGAUAUUUGGAGUGUGGAGGCUUGGGAUGAGAUAAGAGCUAUACUUCCCGAUGAUGGUAAUGGAAGUCGAGUCAUGCUAACCACGAGACUAACCGAUGUUGCUGCUUAUCCCGACCCUUGUAGCCCUCUUCACGAGAUGCGUUUAAUGGAUGAAAAUCAAAGUUGUCAUCUGCUCCGGAAGAAGGUGUUUGGUCACCAAGAUUGUCCUCUGGAAUUGGAGAGAAUUGUGGAGGAGAUUGCAAGGAACUGUAGAGGACUUCCUCUUGCAGUUGUCGUUGUUGCGGGAAUGCUAUCUGCAGUCGGAGAGAAUCUAGCUUCGUGGAAGGCUAUUGCAGAAGAUGUAAGAUCAGCUGUUACUUCAAAGGGACAGUUUGAGAAUAUAUUGUCUCUGAGUUACACUAACUUGCCUCAUUAUCUGAGGCCAUGUUUCUUGUACAUGGGAAUGUUUCCCGAAGAUCAUGAGAUCCGUGUCUCAAAACUCAUACUAUUAUGGGUAGCUGAGAACUUUGUGAGAUGUCCCAAUGGAUCCAAAAGCUUAGAAGAAGAGGCAAAAGAGUGUUUGGAGGAUCUCAUCAGACGAAAUCUUGUUUUGGUUAACAAAAGGAAGUUUGAUGGCGAGAUCAAAAGUUGCAGCCUCCAUGAUCUAAUGCGAGAUUUGUGUGUAAGAAAAGCGCAUGAAGGGAAGUUCUUUUUGGAUUUUAGGGGUUGGCAUGAUAGGAGGUAUUUUCCUCUUGCAAUCAGAGAAAAUCAGCAUCGUGUAAGUGUUUCUCCUUCGGGUUUACCAUACCUUUCUAAAAUAGAUAGCUUAACCAUCCACACAAUUUUGUGCUUCCAUGGAAGAUCUAUAGCACAUAUGUUGGAAAGAUUUAGAUUGCUGAGGGUAUUGGAUCUAGGGGAUGUGUAUGUGAGAUCACUGCCAUAUGAACUAUUUGACCUAUUACAUCUAGUAUACCUUGCUAUGUACUAUCUUGGAAGGAUACCUGCAGCAAUUUCAAUGCUUCAUAAUCUCCAAACUUUAACCCUUCAUUCAAUGAAUGCAUGGAGACAUUUUAAAGCUCAUUGGGAUUGUUUGCCCCAGGAAAUCUGGACCUUGCCUCAAUUAAGACAUCUUGUCUUCUAUGGAAGGCUACCUGAUCCUGAAGAAAGAACAACUUCUAGUCUAGAAAACCUCCAAACACUUUUUCUAAGUUCACAUGCCAUAUGUAGUGAAAGGAUUUUGAGAAUGAUCCCAAACCUAAGGAAAUUAGAAAUUUAUUGUUCUGGGUGUCAUCCGGGCCAGAGUUUCUUGAACAAUCUGGUACUUCUGCAUCAACUCGUAGAUUUGAAACUUCAUUCAUCUUUGCGCAAUGAAAUUUUCCCAAAGGACAUGUUCACUUUUCCUAAGACGCUGAAAACGCUGACGUUAAGUCGCGUGCCUCUUCCUUGGGAGGAGCUGACUGUUGUUGGUUCAUUGCCAAAUCUUCGGAUGCUCAAACUAACUCACUGGGCUUGCAAAGGCGACACAUGGGAAACGACUGAAGGAGAGUUGACUCAGCUGGAAUUUCUGUUGAUAGAAAAGUCUGGUCUCAAGCUUUGGAUAACUGAAAGUAGCCAUUUCCCAAUGCUCAAGUGUCUAGUGCUCGAUGACUGUUGGGAGCUCUCUGAAGUGCCCGAAGGUAUUGGAGAAAUUCCAACACUUGAACUGAUUGAGGUGAAGGGAAUAGUGAGAAUGUCGCUCGUGGAGUCGGCCAAGAGGAUUCUGGAGGAGCAAAAAGAAUGGGGCAAUGAUAACUUGCUAGUUCGUUGCAUGAAUCGUCAAUGACAUGCUCUUCCCAGGUGUUAGAGAAAAUGGCAGAAAGAGAAGUCAAUGCUCCAAGUGCCCAGUGGUGUUCCAUGAAUUGCAACUAAGAACAGGGGAAUGAUAUGAGUUCGGUCCUAGCUAGGCCAGAUGCUUCUGUUCAUACAAAUGCUUCCUCCAUCUUCAGUUGGGACGAUCUUCACAUGAUAAGUAACGGAUUCAAUAACUCCUCCAAGAACAUCGCCCUCGAUUAUGCUGUAACUGUGGGUCAAGUUCUCCUUGUCGAUGGCAUCCACGCGGUGCUUCACGCUCUUUUAUUGACUCCCUUCGCCAAAAUGGAUAAGCUUGAUGGUCCCAACGCCACCAUCCCCUUCCAAGAUCUCGACAUUCUUGAUUGCCUGAGGCAUGAUCUUGGGGACGAGGGUGUCAACAUCGAGCACCACGGCCUUAAAAAUCUUAGCGGCCGGGAUGGAGGAAGGGAUCUCAAUAUCGUAAGUGAUGGCACCCAUGAUUAGUUGAAGUAAAAUGAGAAAAGGGAGUUAUAAGUAAGAAGAUUUGUGAAAUGUGGCUUAGUGAGAUGGGAAAAUGAGAGAAUAUGAGCUCCCUAUUUAUAGCAUAGAAUCGAAGGUACUCUUUCUUAAUUGCGUGGGCUUGAGUGUGUAACAACUAACAAGGAGUAGUAGAAUAAAAAUGUUUACGCUCUCUUUUGGUCGAUAGUGUUAAAUUAAUGCGCAUGGCGUGCCUAUAUUGACCAUUCUUCGCAUAGUUGCUGUAGAAUAUCUUAUUCAUUUCUUUAAUUUUAUAUUUUUGGAGCGACUA